UUCCAUUGAGUUUUUAUUUCUUUACUGUGUUGACCGAAGUAUGAUACUAGUAGUAUUGAACAUAGAUCAACACUGAACUAUAGACAGCGCGUAAUCUAAUCCCCACAACGACAGAUAUGGAAAAAAGAUGACCGGCGAGUAGGCGACGGGCGGUGUUUCCGGCAGGCCACGAUGGGAGGGAGGGCUCCGCUGGCAUGCGCAUGCUAUCCAUCCCUUCCUUCAUUCCUCCCGCUGCUCCCGGAUGCACUCCACAGCCCACCAUCUGCUCGCCAGUGGGGCGCCUACCUCCACCGCCCCCGCCUCCCUCGUCGGCGACGCCCUGACCCGCGCUGUUCUGGAAGCAGCAUCGAUCAUCUGCUAUUCGCGGGUAUCAAGUGAAUCCCAAGCACGCCCUGACCCUCGCUCUCGUCAUCCGUCUCCUUCCAUUAAUCCUAUAUAUCUCUCUCAGUGGGGAUUUCUCAGUCACUGCACGGAAGGUGUUUGACAAAAUGACCAGAGCCGAGUCGGCUCAACCUUCAUGGCACGCAGAUUGUGCUGUGCCGAUUUGCUGGAGAAGGACACCUCGGCCUGCUACAAGAAACAGAAAGCUGCUUCCUGGAAGCACUCAACUUACUUGACGAAAUGCGCAGGAGAGGGAAACCGCGCUUGACCACAACAACGCCAUCUGCGUAACAUAACGACAGACGUCCCCACAAAUUUCAGCACAGGACAUGGGCGGUUCAGGCUCCUGAACUUCCCAUUGUUUCAUGACCAAACCAUCAAGGUUGUUGGCAGCCAUCUUAAGGUGCAUUGGGACCCCAGACCCAUUGGGCAUUUUCGAUUGGUUUUGAGUACUGCAUAGAAGUAAUUUACCACCUGACAAAAUGUCUGCAUAAAGGAGACAGGGGUAAAUGCAUGAUGUGGACUGGCCAACAUACUGAGAGUGAUUCAGAGAAAUGGGAGGAGUAAAAUGCAGUGAAGCAAUGUGUUACGCUCCUGGAUACAUAAGCUCAAUCUCAAAGGAGAGAAAGGGGGAGGGGAUUUGGGUACACUGAGAGAGAAGGAGGAAGAAAGGGGAAAGUGUAUCUCUUCUGCUAGACGCCUUUCUUCUCUUCUGUCGCUGCCCCCUUUAUCUUCCUUCCCAUCGCUUCCUUCACAGCUGUCUUGGCCCUCCAGGCCCGGUCCAACCUGCGACAACGACGCGAGGCCUUGGUCCGUCUUCCUGGGCUGGGCGUCCACAUAACACUCCCCAUCCCUUCAGGAUCGGCUUGACCCCAAGCCUCCAGAGUCGGAAACUUCUGCUGCAGCAAAAAUGCAUCUUCCCAAGUAUCAUGAUUAGCAGAACACCCUUGCCAGCGUACCUUGACCCUUGGUAUCGCAAUGCCUCCCUUCUAGACCAGGCGCGUAUGGAUGAUAGUCUCUGGUUGAAGGAGAAGGGGUGCUCGAGGUUCCACCAUGCUCAUGUCUUGAUCUGCUGUCACACUUGGGGGCACCUGUUUCUUCAACUGCGAAACAUGGAUAACAUCAUGGAUCCUGGAGUUGGCCGGGUGAUCCAGCUUGUAUGACAACUCGCCCACCUUUUGCAGCACACGAUACGGUCCAUAGAACUUGAGGGGGAGCUUUUGAUUGCGAGGGGUAGCUAGCGAGUUCUGGAGAUAUGGCUGUACCUUCAGGUGGUGCUUCAGCAUCUCCAUGGUGGCUGGUCUAUCAGUAACCAAGUCUUGCAGAUCUGUAUUGGUAGUAGGGCCGGUGAUGCCAAACAGACGCGGCUGGUAACCAUACAAUGCCUCAAAGGGGGUACACCCAGCUGCUGUAUGAUAUGAGGUGUUGUACCAAUGUUCAGCCACAGUCAACCAUUUGGACCGCUGAGUUGGUGUGUCGUGGAUUGUGCACCUGAGGAAAGCUUCAAGGCACUGAUUCAGUCGCUCCGUCUGACCGUCUAUUUCAGGAUGACGUGCCGAACUCAUGUCCAGCAGUGUAUCGGAUAGGCUAAACAGCUCCUGCCAGAAAGUGCUGGUGAAUACCGGGUCUCUAUCCGAGAUGAUGCGGGUGGGCAUAACAUGGAGAUGAUACACUUGAUCGAAGAAGACCACAGCCACUUGGUGUGCUGUAUAUGGAUGUUUAAGCGGCAGAAAAUGUGCAAACUUCGUAAGCUUGUCGAUGACGACCAAGAUCACUUCAAACCCUUGUGAUUUGGGGAGGCCUUCUACAAAGUCCGAGCUAAUUGUGUGCCAAGGUUGUGGUGGAAUGUCGUGUGGCUGCAGUAACCCUGGCUGCCUGCAGUGUUCAUGCUUUGCACGCUGACAGACAUCACACGCUUGCAAAAACUCUGUGACAGAGCGCCUCAUUUUGGGCCAUGCAAACAAUUUCUUGACUCGCGGGUAUGUUGCAAGCACUCCAGAAUGACCCCCAAGAGCACUGGUGUGAAGAGAUUGCAGUAUGUGUUGUUGGGCUAGGGAAUUGUGACCCACCCAGAUGCGCCCUUUAUAACGAAUCAUGCCAUUUUCCAAUGUAUAACCCUUAUCAUGUGUGCCUGACAGUGACAAUUCUGUCCAGAUUUGCUUAGUCAUUGCGUCAUCCUCGUAACCUGCAACCACAUUUUCCAUCCAUGUCGGCACUGCAGAAGAUAUGUCCAGCAGAGACUGAUUGUCCUCCCUCCUCGAGAGGGCAUCGGCUGCUACAUUGGUGAUGCCUCGCUUGUACUGUAUGGUGUAGCAGGGCCUGCUGGUCAGUGCGAAUGAUGAAAGGCUGGUGCUGCAAGUAAGGCCUCCAUUUGUCCACGGCCAUGAGAAUGGCUAAACACUCUUUUUCAUACGUGCUGAGGUCUUGGUUCUUAGGACAGAGACAUUUACUCAGAUAAGCCACCGGGUGACCUUGCUGCAUAAGAACAGCCCCGAUCCCAUCUUUACAAGCGUCUGUCUCCAGUACAAACUGCUGAUGAAAGUUAGGGACAGCCAAAACCGGCGCUUCAAUCAUUGUUUGCUUCAACAGCCGGAAGGCCAUGUCUGCUGUUGGGGUCCACUAGAAGAUGACCCCUUUCUUCAGUAAUUCUGUCAGAGGUCGACUAAUAAUACCAUAGUUCUGGAUGAACUUGCGGUAAUAUCCAGUGAGCCCAAGAAAUCCAUGGAGCGCACGAACAGAUGUAGGAGCAGGCCAUGUCUGGACUGCUUCCACUUUCGUAGGAUCUGUAGCCACUCCGUCUGCGCUGAUCACAUGACCCAGGUAUUCAAUUGGCGGAUGUUCAGACUUUGGUACUGUCGGUUUUUAAUAAAGUGGCCGCAUGCAUCUUUCCGAUGCAGAGGCCGGGGGAUGGCCUCCUUUUCAAAAAAAUCAAUUGACAGCUGGGCAAAAGCACACUUGGAGCGCUUGACCACUAGGGAAUUUUCUCGGAGCGUUUGCAAAACGGCGCGCAGGAGGCGGACAUGCUCAGAUAGGGUAGCACUGUGCACCAAGAUGUCAUCCAUAAAGACCAGUACUCCAUGUCUCAAUAAAGGGUCAAAAAUAAAGUUCAUCAUGCCUUGGAACAUCCCUGGUUCCCGUGAGAGUCCACAGGGCAUAACCAGAAACUCGUAGAGCCCUUGGUGGGUGCGAAAUGUUGUCUUGAACUCCUCACCAUCUGCCACUCUGAUUUGAUGGUACCCGGAUAACAAAUCAAGCUUUGUGAACCACUUGGCCCCAGAAAGUUCAUCUAACAACUCAUCCACAAUGGGCAUCGGGUGCUUGUUCUUAAUAGUGACGGCAUUGAGCUGUCGAUAAUCAACACAAAAUUGCCAAGACCUGUCUUUCUUGCGCACCAACAUCACGGGAGACGCAAAGGGAUUGGUACUGGGACGAAUGAUCCCCAUGCAUAGCAUCUCUCUAAUCUGUCGUUGGAUCUCGUCUUUUUGUUGAGGUGUAUAGCGAUGCGGCCGAGCACUGACAGGUUGGGCCCCUAGUAUGAGGGGGAUGGUAUGGUCCUCCGGACGACGUGGUGGUAACUUCGUUGGAGGUUGAAAACGAUCAUCAAAUUCAUGCA